UAAACCUAAUUGCAAGGUAAACGAACGCAUUGGCGAAGUCGGUUCGGCGAUUCGUCGAGCCGUUGUAAAGUUAUUAAAGAAACGGUCGUUUAGGCAUCGUUUCCGCCUGGAGGGCCGAGGCGACAUCGUAUACUUAUGAAAACGGAUUUGAAGCAUCGUGGCACAUAACCGAAGACCUUUAAUUUUCGGAUCGUGAAUUGGUGGCCAUUCGGGUGGUCGCACAAGAGUUUGGCCCGAACCGGACCACGUGCGCCGCGGGAGGCCGAUUGCGAGUGACGACGAGCAAUCAGAACGCUAUAAAAGGUGGGUGGUGUCCAUCCCGAAGCAACCGGGCUCCUUUUUAUGUCUAAGUUUUAUAUUGAUCAAAUUGCAUAUUGACAUCUUGCAUUAUAGGGUGAUAAAUGAUGGUUUGGUCCUAUACCUUGCAUGUUCUUUGGUAGAAUAAUGUAUUUGGCUUAGUACUUAUAUCUAGCAUGCUUGAGGUUUAUAUAUGUGAUGUGGAACCCUAUAAUGAGAUGAUAAGUGUGGAUGGGAAUUUAGUAAUGUAUUGGCUAUUGCAUUGGAAACUUGUAAAGAACGAGUGGCAUCUAGUUGAUAGUAAACAAAAGAACAGAUCGAGUGACCAUAUGUGAGAUUCGUAGUGUAUAUGGAAACCUAUUGGACUUAUAUAUGAUUGUAACCUAGAGGAUGAGGGUGAUUCUCGAGGACAGGAUUGGAUGUCAUGCUUAACGGUCUGUUUUUAAAUCUUGUGAUGGAAGCCCACACAAGUAGUGCGCGGUCCGCGAAGUUGGUCACGUGGGAUCUGCCCUAUUUUGGGCGUCCGCAACGGGAUUGGCUAUUUUGGCCCCGCCAGAUCGGUCUCAUAUUGGUUCGUAGUAUGAGUUAAUCUCCCUAACGCGUCGAGAUGGCUAGUGAGCUGUAGGCGAGCUCUGUCGGUAUGCAUGGAUAAUGAACACUAAAUGAGAUUCUGGAUGAAAACGAGUAAAUAGCUUUUACCUUUUGGAACAAUGAAUUAAUGUUUAGUUUGUUUUAUACUAUUUCAUUGUACAUGCAUCUAUAUAUUUAUGAAGUCGGCAUAGUAGCGUAGCUUUACUCCUGCAAAAGUUUGGAUCGAUUGGGUGCAAAGUUGGUAAACCUCUAAAGACGGAUGAUUAAUAAAUGGACUCAGAGGUUUUGAUUUAUUCUCAGCAGGGUGUUCAUGGUUGGAUCAUACAAACAUGAAACUUGGUUGGUAGAGAAUAAGGCACGCCUUGUAUGUACUUUCGCCGGCGAUUGAGUCGCGUCAUCUAAUAGUUGCGACGAGGUUAGCAGGUUAGGUAAUAGCCCCGAUUGUUGUGUUUCAGGAGGCUAUGGCACCAAGGAGACACUACGCGCGCGGUGAUUCGUUUCCGGCAUCGCUCCGCCUCGCCGAGGUGCCUUGAGCAGAGCUGGGUCAAGUGAACGUGCAAAGAAUUUACUGAAGCGCCAGAUGACUAGCGGCUUAUCGGGUGAUUCAACGCCAAAGAAGUCAGAUCGAGCGGCUCCUAAGACUUUUGGAGCGAUCAUAGUGCGACGGCGGCUCGUGUAUGAACAACUGAAGGCGCUAUGGUCGCGCCCGCCCCUCGCUCGUCGCCGUUAUACGCUGAUGCGCCUUGAAGGGCGUGAGCAUUUUGGUGACUCCGGCGGUGGUCGGCAUCCCGCUCUGCAAGAAACUAGUGUCUCUCUGGCGGUUUUCGGUCCUUACGAUGACGUCAAUGCCGGACAGCUGGGGAAGUGAGACAUAGGUAACGCGAGGCGUUUCAAGGAGAGGUGGAGUUGAUAGAAUACGGUCCUGGAUGGUUCGGGGGAACAGUUCGAUUCAAAAGGGCCCCGAUCAAAAGGCGCGUCCAUGUUAGACAGGACCAUGCAGCUGGCGUGACUGCGGAGAAGAGCAUCGCGGCAGCGACUUUUAAGGUCGGGCGCGGCGGUUGCUUCAGUGUGUUCCGGCGGGACAAUAUGGCCCGUUCAAGUGCGAGAAGGAGUGCCACCUGCCCCGUCAGUUGCAAUCCCCCAGAAGACCAGCGGCAUUUCGGCAGGAGUUCCGUUGCUUAACUGCCGUAUCUGCAGGGUGUGUGAUUUUGUGGAGGAUCCCACCAGGCGGCGGCGUCGGCACUUGCGUAGAGUGCGAAAAGGAGGGGGUCAGGGAAAAGGGGGGAAAGGGGGGUGAAACAAAAAAAAGGUGUUUUCGUUGUGCGGCAAGUUCUGGGCCAUGAAAUAUGAUUGCCCCUUGAGCAUGGACGACUGCUACCGGGCCGGCAGGAACAACUUUACACUUCUGGGUCAAGAUGGUGGAUGUGCAUGGCUUGUGGACGUCUGAGAGCUUGGGGUGGUCCGAAAAGCGGCCGGCCGAAGGACUUUCAGGUGAGCGCCAAGCGGCCCGAUCACGCGGCUCAAGUCGAGGGAACCUGCUGCUGGUUGGUGAUGUCACGUAGGUAUUGAUUUAAUUAAGCAUCAUUAAUAUCUAGCAAGAACGUUUAAGCAGAUUGCAAUGGCAUUUGCUUUGGUCUUUUACUAGCUAUUUUACAUUUAGUAUAGUGCAGAGCCAGGACGCAGGUUAGUGUAGUUAUCCCCCCCAGCAUGCAUAGUCGUGGUGGAUGUCGCCUACCCCUAAAGGGAUUGGUGGAUUAGUCAAUGCGGCAAUACUUAGUGAGCUAACCGAGAAGCAAGAAUCCGUUGGGGAUUCUGUGCGUUGUAGCGUGUAGGGACAGGCGCACACCUAGCCGUACGUUUGCUUGUAUAGAGAGUCGGCAAGGGUGAUCGGUUAGAAAGGCAUUUCGAACGAACUCUAUUACCUGGUUCUCUCCGAUGUCUGGGAUGAGUUCAUGGGGAUAGUAUCCUCGUUUACUUCCCGCGAUGGUGAUAGAGGGAAGUUCAGGAUUAGGGGUGACUGGGCCGGGCCUAAAAAGGCCCGGCUGGGCCAUGUUUGGGCCGGGCUUUGGGUAUUAAAAAUACAACUUUGGGUUCGGGCCGGGUUUAAAAAUUUAGGCCCGAAAAAAUUUUGGGCCUAUUUGGGCAUGUCCAAGCCCGACCCGAGCCCGACCCAAAAGCCCGAUAUAUUAAUUAUCAAAAUAAAAUAUUUAAUUAUAUAUAUUAUUUAUCUAUAGUAUAUCAUAUAUAGUAUAUAUUGUUAUUAAUGAGCUUAUAUAUAUGAGGAUAUAUUAUAUAUUAACAAAAUAUUUAGUUCUAUAUUAUGAUAUAUUUGAUAUUAGAUAUUAAUUUCUUUGAUGUGAUAAAACUAAAAAUACGUAUUUUAUUUUAAUUUUAUACAAAUAAAAGUAUUUAUGUAUUAUAUGAUAAAUGCAUAAAAUGGGCCUCCACAAAGCCCGAUGGGUAUUGGGCAUUGGGCUUGGGCUUGGGCCGGGCCUUAAUUUUAAAAAAAAUUGGCUAAAAGCCCGACCCGAAGCCCAACAUUUUUUUUGGGCCGGGCUUGGGCAUAGUAAUACCCCAACUAAGCCCGGCCCAGUUCCACCAGGAUAAGUUUCCGAAGCUGUGGUAGGUAAACUGCACCGUGAGACGAUACGAGCAGGAGUUCUCCCGUGUCAUGAAAUGCAUCCUACACGUAGUGCGGAUGACGAGGACAUGGCCGAAUUGCUUGUGCGGAGAUUUCGGCCGGGCGUUGUUAAAGUCGUUUAUGUAGGGGAAGUGGAUUCUCAAAAUCCGAGGAUUUGACUUCGUCGGAAAUUGACUAAUUGUCGAGUGUGUAGGCUUCGGAGAAGCCGAAGAUGUCUAAAUCACCAAAAGUACAUUGGAGUUGGAGUCCACGAGAGCAAUAGUGCAAGGUCUGCACUUGGUGGAGUUGCUCUCGGGGACCGGUCCCUGGCAGGGAGGAACCGGUCCCCGUAGCCAAUGGUUGCAGGGUUGCUUGAUGCAACCGGUCCCUGGAUCUGAGGGACCAGUCCCCCCCGUAUGCGAAAUCGUCGAGAAGCGAAAAAUUGGCUAAGUCCCGGAAAUGCCACUCUCGGGAAUCGGUCUCUCAGCAGGAACCGGUCUCCCGAGGACCGGUCUCUCGGGCAAGGACCGGUCCCCGUAGCUCAAAAUUGCCCAGUUUGGGGCAAUGCACCUUCUUGAUUCCAAUCGCAAUCUCGAACCUCGGAGGUGCCUUUAUUGACUUCCUUGAGAUGCGGGAUUGUGGGAGUUCUCACCGAGCACGUAAUGUGCGUUGCGUGGUGAGAUAGGCAUUCGUGCGGUCGAUUGCAGGGUCGCGUUGUAGGAGGUAGCCUCUUCCUCUCCGAGACAGUUUGUGGAUGUGAAGUCUACAGAGUGGUCUAGAGAACGAGUGGUGAGGAAGUGACGACGGAAGGCUCGCGGCGGGCAACGAGCGUCCGUGAGUACGCGACCUUGGUCGAAGGACCUUGCAUGCAUUCGUCGUGUGGUCGCUUGCUAUCGUCGAUGCAUCGAUGUAGUAAGGACCAAAGUGACGGACAAGUGUAAAUACCCGAGCAUGCUUGCGCGUGAGGGUGUAACGCUUGCUGGAGUAGAUGGAGGGCUAGACGGUACUAGCAAAUUGCUAGUAGUGGAAUCACUGUUGAGAGAGUAGCCGUAUAGUUGCCGAAUACGAGAACGUUAGCCGAGUAGUACCUCAAGUUGAGGUCAGCGAGUCAUGCUCGUGUAGUGGGUAUGCAUAGGCAAGGUUGCCUAAUGCUGACCUAGUUGGAACGCAGUAGAGGCGUGUAGAGCGCUCGAGUGUAAUUACGCGUGAAGUGCGGUUUCGAUUCAGCCGGUCGAGUGAAUUGGCAGUAGCACUUCGGCAGGGCUAAGUGUGAAGCGGGCCACGGAUCACUCGUGAGGGCUGGUGGCUCAUACUAGGUGCUUAGGCACUUAGGAGUCGGUAAUGGUACGUGUAACUCAAUAGAGUAUGUCGUAUAAGACGACGACGGCGAGUAGUGCUUGGGGACGAUCCGUGCCUGGACCAUUUGUGGACUGUGGAGCCUGGGCCCAUUGGGCAGGCACAGUCAGCUGUGAGAGACAGCGGCCCAAUGUAGGGCAGAAUUUUGGUCAGGGCGGUAGUCCAAGCUGAGACUCGGGAGCGUGGAAUGACACACGUGGAUCAUGAGAUCAAGGUUACACCUAGUGGGUAGUGACCCAACCCAAGGAUUCGACGUGGUUUGAGGUCUUAGUUGCUCCUGGUUGAAGUGUGUGCGAAUUCUCCAAUAAGAAUUUCGCCCAGUAGUGAUAAUUGGGUCUACACUGGUGAGCGAGAGACACUACGCGUAGUUGAGACUGGUUUAAGCGACAGGUCUACGUAGGAUUGGUGACCUGUGGUUCACCUAUGGAUUUGAUGAAAGUGGUUGAGCGAGUAGCCUCAGUGAUGGGCGUGGCCUAGAAUGACGAACGGAUGUUCAUGUGGAUUCGUUGCACGAACGAGUUGGUGAUGGUCGUGGCAUAUGGUAUUCGAGGAUAUACUGCUCGCGUGAGACAUUGAGCUAUUGGAAGCCACGAGAGGUAGAGGAUUGAAGUUGAUGCCCCUAAGUGAAUUGGAGCUUGAGGAUAAUGCUCUUUUAAGGGCUGAGUUGGAGAUGUGCCGAAGCGUGCCAUCCCGCGGUAGAGCAAGGGUCUGGUUGAAGAUUGGAGCACUCGCAGUGGGUCGAUGCACCAAUGAUAUUGCUUCUAGGCGAUAUUGGUGAUCGAAUUGGAGUGUGACCCCUAGAGGGAUGGUGAAAGUGAUGAAGAGUCGUGAAUGAGAAAUACGAACUCUUGGAUAGCCAAAGUGGCGGAGCGCCGCUUUGUUGACAUUCGGGUGAUUCGAGAGGGCUUACCCGUGUGUGCUGUGUCGUGGUGGUGGACCAUAUGACUAUUGGUGCGUUCUUGAUAGCUCCACACCAUGAGGAUAGCGGGUAGUCCCGGUCUCGAGGGAGGUGGUUUGGCCUUAGUGGGCCAGUUAGCGAAUGGCGUUGGAGCGCGUAGAGCCGUUGAGCCUCGACUUGCGCUGCUACCAAGAAUAACGGAGAACGUAAUGCACCUUGCGAGAUGCGCCUUGCAAAGUUGUACGAGUUGGGUAUUGUACCCUCCGUGUUGGGCCUCUUGGAUAGUUGCAAAGAGGGUAAAGCCAUUCCGAACUAGAAAAGUGCAUUAGCGCCCUAAAUUGCUCAAGGAGCCGAAUUGAGGCGUGGUUUGAGUUUCGCGGACGAAACUCUUUUUAAGGAGGGGAGGAUGUAAGGUACCGGACUUCGAAAAUCAUGAGGUUACGGUGUACGUUCGAUUGGAAAGCCAUUUAAAUGGUUCCGGUGAGGCUGCGGUGGAAUGUAACAUACCGGAUUUUUAAUAUAAAAGUGAAAAUAAGUAAAAAUAGUAUGAGAUACUAUUUUAUUGGAUUUAGAGAAGUAAAACAUAAGUCAGAAGUGACUUGUGCUGAAAUCGGGAUGAAAACAGAAGAUCUAGAAUUUUCUGUUGGAAACGGGACAGAAAAAUUAGCAGAAAAUGCACAGUCUCAGAAAAUUAUGAAAAUUGGCGGGGAUGCCAGAAAUAUUUUAAUGAGGCUAGAUUUAAAGUUUCAUAUUUUUCUGACACCCGUAAAGUGAGAAAUAAAAUCCGAAAUCCAUCUGAUAAAGAUUGCAGUUCGGCACAGUUUUCGGUGACCAAACGGGGUCGAAACUGAAAUAUUAAAAUUUCUUUGGACUUAUUAAGUAAAACCGAGCGUGCCUGUCAAAUUUGAGCUCAAACGGAUAUUCAGGGAGCUCCGGCGAAAGAUAUCAGAUUUGGAGCUGCCUGAUGUGAAUAGUGUAUGCUACUAUUGAGGUGUUGACUAUAAGUAGAAGCUACUAGGCUUCUUCCUCCUCAGCUGCAGCCAACACCAAGCAUCACACGUUCAUGGUGUAGUGAGAGAAACCCUCUCUUUCUCUCUCUAAAUAUCUCUCUCAUCUCUCUAUAUUUCUCGCCCAAAUUCGCGGCGUUGGUGGAGAUCGAGCUUGCGAACGCGUUGGAGGCGACGGAUCGAGCUUCCGUGCGCCCGUUGGAGCGGCGUGUUUUCGUUGUGGCGUUCACAUUGGGGUAAGCUUUUGGGAUUUGGCUUAAUCCUUAGCUUUAAGUGUUCUAAUAGCCUCUAAUGUGAAGUUAGUUUGUUAAAUCCUUAAUAUUUGGAUUGUUUGGAGCAUAUGUUGAGGCUAGGGUGUGAAAAUGGGGGUUUACAAAUUAGGUGGGGUUUGAUCUAAUUUGACCCUUCGUAAACCCAAUUGAUAGGUCACUGAACGCGUUGGAAGCGACGGUUCGGCGAUUCGUUGAGCCGGUGCAAAGUUAUUAAAGAAACGGACGUUUAGGCUUCGGGUCCGCCUGGAGGGCCGAGGCGACGUCGUAAAAUCGUGGAAACGGAUUUGAAGCAUCGUAAUAGGAAACCGAAGACCUUUAAUUUUCGGAUCGCGGAUCGGAGGUCGUUUGGUUGUCGCGCGCGGAUUGGGUCAAGCCGAGCGGCGUGUGCCGCGUGAGGCCGAUUGCAAGUGACGACGAGCAAUCGGAACGCGAUAAAAGGUGGGUGGUGUCCAUCCCGAAGCAAUCGGGCUCCCUUUUAUGUCUAAGUUUUAUAUUGAUCAAAUUGCAUAUUGACAUCUUGCAUUAUAGGGUGAUAAAUGAUGGUUUGGUCCUAUACCUUGCAUGUUCUUUGGUAGAAUAAUGUAUUUGGCUUAGUACAUAUAUCUAGCAUGCUUGAGGUUUAUAUAUGUGAUGUGGAACCCUAUAAUGAGAUGAUAAGUGUGGAUGGGAAUUUAGUAAUGCAUUGGCUAUUGCAUUGGAAACUCGUAAAGAACGAGUGGCAUCUAGUUGAUAGUAAACAAAAGAACAAAUGACACCUAUGAGUCAUAGUGUAUAUGAAACCUAUGGACUAUAUGAUGGUUGUAACCCUAGAGGAUAGGGUAUUCUCGAGACGAGGAUUGGAUCAUGCUCACGGUCUGUUUUUAAAUCUUGUGAUGGAAGCCCCACACAAGUAGUGCGCUCCGGAGUUGGUCACGUGGGAUUGCCGAUUUCGGGUCCCAAGGGAUUGCCUAUUUUAGGCCCCGCCAGACGGUCUCGGUUCGUAGUGCGAGUUGACUCUCCCUACCUUCGAGAUGGCUAGUGAGCAGUAGGCUCCUUCAGGGAAGCCACGAGAUUAAGAAACAAGUAAAUGAGAUUGGUGAACGAGUAAAUAACUUUACCUUUGGACAUGAUAAUGGGAUUGUUGUUUAUCCAUUUCAUUGUACAUGCAUUCAUAUAUUUAUGAUUGGGCAUAGUAGCGUAGCUUUACUUCUGUCAUUUACCGCUUUCCUUAUCUAUCUAUCUAUCGAUUAUCUACUUGUGCCCAACUUGGACCUAGUGGGGAGAUCGGCGGAGUCGGCGGCCGAACCCACUGGGAACUAAGGAAGUUAGUUCUCACCCCCAUUUUACUACAGGGCCGAGCGCGAGUUCACACGGCGAGGAUCGCGGUAAGGGCCUAGCGCCCUAGUUGCAUUAGUUUACUUUCCUAUUUCUGCAUUAGAGUCACCUUUAUAUGCUUUGAGAGUAGAUGAUGUAUAGGAUGUGAGAUAUUCUGAGAUGAAUGUAAGCUAAUGUUUAUAUUUUGGAAAAUGUAAGCUUUAUAUUAUGUUUAGAAGCUUAAUGUAUAAUCAAGUUGUAUUAUAAAGGCUGAAUGAAUGUAAUAGAUAGAUGUUCCUCUCUUUAUCAUUACUUGUAUGUUCUAUACUUGUAUCUUGCUCUUGGUUGUUUGCACUGAUUGUGUUCUCGUUGUAGUUAUCGAUUGUGUAUGUAUUCAAGUUAUUUUCCUGGAAACUUGUUGUACACAAUCUCGUUGUUAGCCUUGGGCGGACAGGGGAGGUGCUGUCCGUCCGGCGUCUGUUCGACGCGCCCGAGCCGAGCCAAAUUGGUAGCGGUCGCGGGGCGUGACACUGUUUGACAGAAAUUGAUUGAGGUUUGUAUUGUCAAUUUCGUGUUUUACUGAGCUACUGGUGUUUUGGUCCUGAAAUUAAGUUUUCUUUGAUUGUUUAUGGGCCAAUUCUUGUAGAGCUGGAUUUUCGACCAGAGGAAGUUGCUCCACCUUUCCCUACUGGUUUUGUGAAUGUUCUUCACCAGAAUUGUGGAUUUGGGGAUUGAUAGGUGAGUUUUGACAUUAUAGUUGGUAAAUUUAAGCUUAAGUGCUAAAAUUUAAGGGUGUUGAUGCAAUUUUGUUGUAUUUGCGUUUAGAUCUUUGGAGGAUGUUGAGUUUUGGACCAGAGGGUGAUACUCCAUCAUAGUUCACUGAUUUUGGGACCUUUUCUCACCUGAUUUGGAGAUCGAAAGGUGAAAUUGACUUUGAGAUUGAUGUGAAUUUGAGCUUUAGCGCUGAAUUUUGGAUUAUUGAUGGAUUUUAAAUCCUUAGAGAGGUUUGUUGCUGGUUGUGGUUGAGCUUGGCAGGGGUUCCGGCGACUCCUCGCUGCUGUGGAUUAGUGCUUGAGGUGGGUUAAAGUGAUGCUUACCGGAUUUUCGCGGAUUUCCUCCUAAGGUCUAUUGCUAGCAUGUAUUAAUGGAUAUUUUAUAUAUCAUGUUUCAUUGCUCAAUUCAUCAAUUUAUUGUGUUCGUAAAUCUGAAUUAGAGCUUAGAAUAGUAGUUAAAUAAUACAUGUUAGACUUGGAUUUGAUUUAGGAGAAAACUAGCGAUUCUACACUGUCAUAUGUUAAAACUACCAGAUUUAGCUCUAAAAGCCGUAGUUUGUUUAUAUCACCGCAGUUUGUUGGCGGUGGAUACCCAUGAUAGUGUAGAAUAUUUUUACGCUCGUGCUGGGAUGCCGAGCUUAUUUUUACAACAGUGUUCAGGCUGUUCCAGAUUGUCAGGUGCCGUUGAGAUUGACGGUGGACCCAGAUUGCUAUUUUUGUAUCAGAUU
rnacentral:lncRNA from 1 species